rnacentral:lncRNA from 1 species
UUCAGAGAAAACAUGUAAUGCUAGGAUGUCUACAUCAGACAGUAGAAAGCUGCUGAAGGAAGACUCCGGGGAUUAUGGAUGAGCUCUGCCUGUAACUUGCAGUGUGGCCUUGGAAUAAUCUUUUCCACUCCCCCAGAGAAACACUUUCAGUGCUUUUGUUUUGAAUUAAAAUAAUAAAUUCAACGUUAUAAAGAAGAGGAUGUUUUUCCCCGUGGAGUCCACCCUGGAUCUAAUCCUAUUUUGUAAAAGCUUAACAUUCAUCAGAACUUGUUUGUGACAUCCCCUCUUCUGAAGCAGCCCAGGACUCAGUCCUGCCACCCCUGUGACUUGGGCAAGCACCAUCUGUCAAGUCCAGGUUGGGCCAGGCUGUCUAAGAGAAGGAGAAGGUAUGAGGGUCCACUGAGUUUGCAGGGGCAACUCCUCCACUAGGCUUCUGCCACUCAUGUGCUGUGCUUCAAAGACACAAUCCCCAGCCUACAGAAGGAUGAGAAUGGGCAGUUACAUCUACAGGCAAAUGAGGCAUAGACUCACAGUUGGAUCCCCUUUUUUCUCUCCCAAAUUCCAAUCUCUCUAAAAAAUACUGAACUUGUAUUCAGAACACCUAACUUCCCAUUUGGACCCUGCUACCACUAACUGUGUGGCCUUCAGUAUGUCACUCAACUUCUGUAUACUUAGUUUCCUCAUACUCAAAAGAGAGCAAUGGACUAAAUUGGGAAUGGCAAAUACAAGACUUGCACAUUAUCAGCUGCCCUGCCCAUGCAAGGGCCAGACAUCACUAAUCAAUUGUAGCACUCCCAGCACUUGAGAAAGCCAUUAUUAAUCGAUUGAGGUCAACACACAAAAUGGUAACUGACAUAUCUGCAUGAAAUGACCUCUAAAGUCUCCUUCAGAUUGAAAUAUCAGAAAGUGGAAUAGGUUGCCAGGGACCAGAAUCUCCUCUACCUAGAAUUAGGAAAGUCCUAUUCGAAGGCAGAGCAAUCGGCAAAAUGAACUUAAAAUUUCUAUGAUCAUUUAGCAACUGAACUCAACUAAGCCAACAUUUAUUAAACAUCUUCUAUGAUCAAAGCUCUCUGCUAGUGAUGCUGGGAUGCAAAGAUAAUGACCACCCUUUAUCUCAAAUAACUAAAAAUUGCAUAGAGGAAGCAGGCAGAAUGGCCUACAUGUAAAUAGCAAUACAUAAGCAACACAUGGGAGCCAAGGUGCUAGAAAUAAUUUUUGGCUGGGUGCGGUGGCUCAUGCCUAUAAUCCCAGCACUUUGGGAGGCCGAGGCGGGCGGAUCACCUGAGGUCAGGAGUUCAAGACCAGCCUGACCAAUACGGUGAAACCCUGUCUCUACUAAAAAUACAAAAAAUGAGCCAGGCAUGGUGGCAGGAACCUGUAAUCCCACCUACUUGAGGCUGAGUCAGGAGAAUCGCUUGAACCCGGGAGGCGGAGGUUACAGUGAGCCGAGAUCGCGCCAUUGCACUCCAGCCUGGGCAACAAGAGCAAAACUCCAUCUAAAUAAAAAAAAAAGAAAC